UACGGAGGGUGCAAGCGUUGUUCGGAAUCACUGGGCGUAAAGCGCAUGUAGGCGGGUUGGUGUGUCGGGUGUGAAAUACCGGAGCUCAACUCCGGGACUGCGCCCGAAACUGCCAGCCUUGAGUUCGGGAGAGGAACGUGGAAUUCCGGGUGUAGAGGUGAAAUUCGUAGAUAUCCGGAGGAACCCCAGAGGCGAAGGCGACGUUCUGGACCGAUACUGACGCUGAGAUGCGAAAGCGUGGGGAGCAAACAGAAUUAGAUACUCUGGUAGUCCACGCUGUCAACGGUGGGUACUAGGUGUCGGGGGUGUCUGACCCCUCCGGUGCCGGCGCUAACGCAAUAAGUACCCCGCCUGGGGAGUACGGCCGCAAGGUUAAA
rnacentral:rRNA from 1 species